CUCAGUACGAGCCGCAUUAAGGUGAAACCGCGAAAGGCUCAUUAAAUCAGUUAUGGUUCCUUAGAUCGUACCCACAUUUACUUGGAUAACUGUGGUAAUUCUAGAGCUAAUACAUGCAGAUAGAGCUCCGACCGGAGACGGAAGGAGUGCUUUUAUUAGAACAAAACCAAUCGGCGGCGGGCGCGUUCGCGCGUCCGUUCGCCGCUCUACCUGGUGAAUCUGAAUAACUUUCAGCUGAUCGCACGGUCUCGCACCGGCGACGCAUCUUUCAAAUGUCUGCCUUAUCAACUGUCGAUGGUAGGUUCUGCGCCUACCAUGGUCGUAACGGGUAACGGGGAAUCAGGGUUCGAUUCCGGAGAGGGAGCCUGAGAAACGGCUACCACAUCCAAGGAAGGCAGCAGGCGCGCAAAUUACCCACUCCCGGCACGGGGAGGUAGUGACGAAAAAUAACGAUACGGGACUCAUCCGAGGCCCCGUAAUCGGAAUGAGUACACUUUAAAUCCUUUAACGAGGACCCAUUGGAGGGCAAGUCUGGUGCCAGCAGCCGCGGUAAUUCCAGCUCCAAUAGCGUA
rnacentral:rRNA from 1 species